GGUGAGGUGGGUGAGUGGCUGAAACUACCGGUUUGCUAAACCGGCGUACCGUAACAGGUACCGCGGGUUCGAAUCCCGCCCUCACCG
rnacentral:tRNA from 1 species